rnacentral:rRNA from 1 species
UACGUAGGGUGCAAGCGUUGUCCGGAAUUAUUGGGCGUAAAGAGCUCGUAGGCGGUCUGUCGCGUCGGCUGUGAAAACCCGGAGCUCAACUCCGGGCCUGCAGUCGAUACGGGCAAACUGGAGUACUGCAGGGGAGACUGGAAUUCCUGGUGUAGCGGUGAAAUGCGCAGAUAUCAGGAGGAACACCGGUGGCGAAGGCGGGUCUCUGGGCAGUGAACUG